UCUCUCUAUAUGAAUCAGAAAAAUGAUCGCUGUUUUGAAAAUAGACUGAAAAGAAAUAACAGUGGCUGAGAAGAGAGAUGGAUACAUAUCAAAGUAGGAAAGGAGAUGCGAGAAUGAGAUUAUGCUUCACCUUGUGAGGAAUGAGAGAAGGAAAAAGGACCAAAAAAUCCAAUAAAGAAUAUCAGAUAGACUAUCAUUCUAGAAUCACCCUAGAAGCAUUUAUAGGUAUCCAACAAAGGAGUUUUGAAGGAAACCGCUUCAAGCUAAAUGGAUUCGGUACAACAGAAAGCUCUUUAUACAGUAUCACUUUCACGGACAACUACAAAUAAAUCUCAUAUCAAUCAGA